GCCCGGUUAGCUCAAUCGGUAGAGCGUGAGACUCUUAUGAGUACGCGAUCUCAAGGUUGCGGGUUCGACCCCCGCAUCGGGCU
rfam:Fusarium poae strain 2516 super_645_consensus, whole genome shotgun sequence.